rnacentral:rRNA from 1 species
GACGAACGCUGGCGGCGUGCUUAACACAUGCAAGUCGAACGCUGAAGCUCAGCUUGCUGGGUGGAUGAGUGGCGAACGGGUGAGUAACACGUGAGUAACCUGCCCUCUUCUUUGGGAUAACGCCCGGAAACGGGUGCUAAUACUGGAUAUUCACUGAUUCUCGCAUGGGGGUUGGUGGAAAGGUUUUUUCUGGUGGGGGAUGGGCUCGCGGCCUAUCAGCUUGUUGGUGGGGUGAUGGCCUACCAAGGCUUUGACGGGUAGCCGGCCUGAGAGGGUGACCGGUCACAUUGGGACUGAGAUACGGCCCAGACUCCUACGGGAGGCAGCAGUGGGGAAGAUUGCACAAUGGGCGAAAGCCUGAUGCAGCGACGCCGCGUGAGGGAUGGAGGCCUUCGGGGUGUAAACCUCUUUCGCUCAUGGUCAAGCCGCAGCUUUGGGUUGUGGUGAGGGUAGUGGGUAAAGAAGCGCCGGCUAACUACGUG